rnacentral:lncRNA from 1 species
GUCUUUGUUAUCAGCCACAAACCAAACUACCAACGCUGCUGCUCCCAAGUGAGGGAGAUAGUUUUGCUGCUGACUUCCAAAAAUACAGGAAGCAACUCAGUUCUUUUGAAGAAUACAAAAAACAAACAAAAAAACCAAACCGAAACAGAAAACCUAAAUGAUAAUGACACUGAUUCCAUAUCCUGUUUUUUCCAGCAGAUUUUAUGAUGCUUCUUGUUAUUCCAGCAGUGUCAGGGACAGGGGAUCAUGCCCCUGUCCCCUGCCACUGUGCUGAGGGUGCACUCGGUGCCACUGUGUGUCGCUGACAAAGAGCCUGAGGAGCCCCAGGGCCCAGGAAGAGCCCUGAGGGACAACCCUCAUCCCCAGCCUCCCCUGGGCCAUGGAGCCCACUCCCAAUUCUUCCUGCGCUGCCCAUCCCGGCCUGCAAAAUCCGUGAGGGGGCCAGGUGUGGCCCUUUGUGACACAGCCACCUUCCAGGGCUCUUUGUGAUGCGGGACACAGCGGUGCCCAGACACCUUUGUGACAUCGGAGACCCCGCCCUGCCCCAGGGGUAUAUAAGGAGCACAGCGCUCAGCCCAUCUCAGACGCUCCCAGGAGGGAGCAGGUCCCAGGAUCUCUCCAGGGCUCAUAGCCGGACUUGAGGAGGAGGCCAAGUGGACAUCCCAUCGGCCAGAGAGGAGUGCCAGAUCGACACUGGGACCAGGAUUAACAUUGCAUCAUCGGGAUCAGCGCUGGAAAUGGGAUUAACAUCUCAUCAUUGGGAAAGAUCGGCGCUGGCACCGGGAUUAAAAUACCUUCUUCUUCAUCAUCAUCUUCUUCAUCAUCAUCAUCUUCUUCAUCAUCAUCUUCUUCAUCAUCAUCAUCUUCUUCUUCAUCAUCAUCAUCUUCUUCAUCAUCAUCAUCAUCUUCUUCAUCAUCAUCUUCUUCAUCAUCAUCAUCUUCUUCAUCAUCAUCAUCUUCGUCUUCUUCGUCUUCUUCAUCUUCUUUGUCUUCAUCUUCUUUGUCUUCUUUAUCUUCUUAGUCUUUAUCUUCUUAGUCUUCUUCAUCUUCUUUGUCUUUUUUAUCUUCUUAGUCUUCUUUAUCUUCUUCGUCUUCUUCAUCUUCUUCGUCUUCUUCAUCUUCUUUGUCUUCUUCAUCUUCAUCGUCAUCAUCAUCUUCAUCGUCAUCAUCAUCUUCAUCGUCAUCAUCAUCUUCAUCUUCAUCACCAUCAUCUCCAUCUUCAUCAUCACCAUCAUCUCCAUCUUCAUCAUCCUCAUCAUCAUCAUCCUCAUCAUCAUCCUCAUCUUCAUCAUCAUCUUUUCUUCUUUUCAUCUUUUCUUCUUUUCUUCUUUUCUUCUUCUUUUUUCUUCUUUUCUUCUUCUUUUCUUUUCUUCUUUUCUUUUCUUUCUUUUCUUUUCUUUUCUUUUCUUUUCUUUUCUUUUCUUUUCUUUUCUUUUCUUUUCUUUUCUUUUCUUUUCUUUUCUUUUCUUCUUUUCUUUUCUUUUCUUUUCUUUUCUUUUCUUUUCUUUUCUUUUCUUUUCUUUUCUUUUCUUUUCUUUUCUUUUCUUUUCUUUUCUUCUUCUUUUCUUCUUUUCCUCUUUUUCUUCUUUUCCUUUUCUUCUUCUUUUCUUCUUCUUCUUCUUUUUCUUCUUCCUUGUCUCUCCUACUCUCCCCUUCUUUCUCUUUCCCUUCCCCCUUUUUUUUUUAAUUUAUUUUUUAUUCUUGUUCCUCACCUUUCUCUCCAAGGAGAAAUCCUUCCCUCUCUUUUACUCCUUCUGCCUUAUGCUUCCCAUCCCUCCCCUUUGUUCUUUCUUCUGAUUUAGAAGAAAAUCAGGAAUUUAUUCCACAGAACUGUGAAAUCAAUAGUAUUCAUUUU